rnacentral:lncRNA from 1 species
GGCCAAAACUCUGCUACUGUUUACAUUCAACUCCUGUUCACUAACUUUCCUCUCUGACUUAAGCAUCGGAGGGUCCCGCCGGACAUAAAUCUGAUCUGUGCGGAUGCUGUUUUGCAGGUGUUCAUUCUCGAUGACAGGUGAUGGAGAGUUGGCCGCAACAGAUUGGUGCACCAAGAAGGAGAGAAAAACAACUUGCAAUGACAAAAACCAAAGCCCAACGUUCGACUACAACU